GGUCAAGUUAUUAAGGGUGCAGGGCGGAUGCCUUGGCACUAGGAGCCGAUGAAGGACGUGAUAAGCUGCGAUAAGCUUCGGGGAGUUGCACGUAAACUUUGAUCCGAAGAUUUCCGAAUGAGGAAACUCACUUAGAGUAAUGUCUAAGUAUCAUUAAGUGAAUACAUAGCUUAAUGAGGGGAACUCAGGGAACUGAAACAUCUAAGUACCUGAAGGAAGAGAAAGAAAUUCGAUUCCGUAAGUAGCGGCGAGCGAACGCGGAUUAGCCCAAACCAAUAAAGUUUUCUUUAUUGGGGUUGCGGACAUAUCAUAACGAAGAGGUAUCGUAAUUGAAGAGGUUUGGAAAGACCCACCACAGAAGGUAAUAGUCCUGUAUGUUAAACGAGAAGACU
rnacentral:rRNA from 1 species